rnacentral:rRNA from 1 species
UACAGAGGUCUCAAGCGUUGUUCGGAUUCAUUGGGCGUAAAGGGUGCGUAGGCGGCGCGGUAAGUCGGGUGUGAAAUCCCCGGGCUCAACCCGGGAACUGCGUCCGAUACUGGCAGGCUUGAAUCCGGGAGAGGGAUGCGGAAUUCCAGGUGUAGCGGUGAAAUGCGUAGAUAUCUGGAGGAACACCGGUGGCGAAGGCAGCUCGCUAAGCCACCAUUGACGCUGAGGCACGAAAGCGUGGGUAGCAAACAGG